rnacentral:tRNA from 1 species
GGGUUGCUAACUCAACGAUAGAGUACUCGACUUUUAGCCGACUGGUUCAGGGUUCAAGUCCCGGACAACCCA